GAAAUGCGAUACGUAAUGUGAAUUGCAGAAUUCAGUGAAUCAUCGAAUCUUUGAACGCACCUUGCGCUCCUUGGUAUUCCUUGGAGCAUGCCUGUUUGAGUAUCAUGAAAUCUUCAAAAUCAAACUUUUUGUUAACUCAAUUAGUCUGAUUUUGGUAUUGGAGGUCUUUGCAGUUUCACACCUGCUCCUCUUUGUGUAUUAGCUGGAUCUCAGUGUUAUGCUUGGUUCCACUCAGCGUGAUAAAUUAUCUAUCGCUGAGGACACUGUAAAAAGUGGCCAAGGUAAAUGCAGAUGAACCGCUUCUAAUAGUCCAUUGACUUGGACACUAUUUUUAUGAUCUGAUCUCAAAUCAGGUAGGACUACCCGCUGAACUUAA
rnacentral:misc_RNA from 1 species